GAUGAACGCUGGCGGCGUGCCUAAUACAUGCAAGUCGAGCGAACGGACGAGAAGCUUUCUUCUCUGAUGUUAGCGGCGGACGGGUGAGGAACACGGUGAUAACCUACCUAUAAUACUGGGAUAACUUCGGGAAACCGUAGCUAAUACCGGAUAAUAUUUUGAACCUCAUGGUUCAAGAGUGGAAGACGUUCUUGCUUUCACUGAUAGAUUGAUCCGCGCUGCAUUAGCUAGUUGGUAAGGUGACGGCUUACCAAGGCAACGAUGCAUAGCCGACCUGAGAGGGUGAUCGGCCACACUGGAACUGAGACACGGUCCCGACUCCUAUGGGAGGCAGAAGUAGGGAAUCUUCCGCACUGGGCGCAAGCCUGACGUAGCACCGCCGCGUGAGUGAUGAAGGUCUUCGGAUCGUAAAACUCUGUUAUUAGGGAAGAACAUAUGUGUAAGUAACUGUGCACAUCUUGACGGUACCUAAACAGAAAGCCACGGCUAACUACGUG
rnacentral:rRNA from 1 species